GCCGGCGCGGGUAACGGGGCCGCAUGGUUGUGGUCCAGGCGGUCGCCGGUUCGAGUCCGGUCGCUCGCCCCU
rnacentral:tRNA from 1 species